AUCCCGCUAGCGUCCGAGGCAAUAUUUUCUUGUGGGUAUGUUUCGGGCGUAACCUUACACAAGAUCGCGACUGAAAUUUGUUCAGGGUUUCAGCGUUAACAAGUUCUGAACUGGUUGUCGGUUUUCCCUGCCCGUCGGGUAGCCGGUAAUGAGAUCAAUAGACCGGAUAAGCAUGUAGAGCCCUGAGCGGAGUGCUUGCGGACGCGGGUUCGAUUCCCGCCGCCUCCACCA
rnacentral:tmRNA from 1 species